rnacentral:rRNA from 1 species
UGGGGAAUUUUGGACAAUGGGGGCAACCCUGAACCAGCCAUGCCGCGUGCAGGAAGAAGGCCCUAUGGGUCGUAAACUGCUUUUGAACAAGAGAAAACCCCGGUACGUGUACUGGGUUGAUAGUAUUGUUAGAAUAAGCAUCGGCUAACUUCGUGCCAGCAGCCGCGGUAAGACGAAGGAUGCAAGCGUUAUCCGGAUUCAUUGGGUUUAAAGGGUGCGUAGGCGGACUGAUAAGUCAGUGGUGAAAUCUCUCGGCUUAACCGAGAAACUGCCAUUGAUACUGUUAGUCUAGAGUACAGAUGAUGUGGGCGGAAUAUGACAUGUAGUGGUGAAAUACUUAGAUAUGUCAUAGAACACCGAUUGCGAAGGCAGCUCACAAAACUGUAACUGACGCUGAGGCACGAAAGUGCGGGGAUCAAACAGGAUUAGAUACCCCCGUAGUCCCUGAGCGGGCUGGCAAGGCGCAU